GUGGCAGGUGCCUGUAAUCCCAGCUACUCGGGAGGCUGAGGCAGGAGAAUCACUUGAACCCGGAAGGCAGAGAUUGCAGUGAGUCAAGAUCACGCCACUGCACUCCAGUCUAGGCCACAGACUGAGACUCUGUCUCAAAAAACCAAAAAAGGAAGAAAAAAAAUGCCUGGAGCCCAUAUUCCCUUCCUGGGAAACAUCAUGUCCCUCCUUGUGGCUGCGACAGAAAGUGAGGAGCAUCAGGGCUGUCACUGGACAGACAGUGACAGUCCUUCCAGAGCCCACAAAGGAGCUGAGGCUCCAUCCCGAAGGACGGGGGACUGUGAGGUCAUCAGGCAGCAGAGUGACAGGGCUUCCUCUGUAAGCCAGGGGGGAUGGAGGAGGGUGACAGGGGGGCUGAGGACAGCGUGGAUGCCGGGGAAUGUCUGGGCAGAUGCCGUCAGCGAGCCCCGGCCACCCUUGGGCUGGAUGGUCCAGAUGGUCUGAGCCAGUCGUUUGCUCUCGGGGUCUUCCCUGGCAUGGCCAAGCCCCCGGAGAGGGGCCCAGGCAGCAGAUGGGGUGAGGGCCGCCUCCCCUACUUAGGCCUGGGAAUGUCCGGGCUGGCAGAGGGCCCGCUGGAGGCUGGUGAGAGGCCCACUUACCAUGACGGAUAGGGGCCCUGUCAGGCCGCGCCAAUUAGGCAAGAUGGAGUGCCAGGGAAGGGCUGUAAAUAUCUUGGCCGGCCCAGGAAUGUAAAUGGUGGUAUUCAACAAGCCGGAAAAAUGUUCGCUUCAGACAGGAUGGCUUUUUUUGUGUGUGUUUUAAAAACAUGUUCUGCCCUCCGCGAAGACUUCGAGGGCAACGUGGGCGGCUAUGAGGCUGGUGCCCGCGGGCGGGCUACUUAUCCAGUCCUGGCGGGGGCGAAGGCCCAUGAAGUCAGAGUCUCGCAGGGGAAGUCCCUGGAAGGGCCGGUGCAUUCGAAGCCCAGAAAAGGCCCGAACCUGGCUUGCAGCUUUGUUCCUGGUCACAAGGGACCCUGGGUGCGGGAGCAGUCUUCAAAAAUGAUGGACACCGCUGGCCAUCCUGGCUUCCUCCUGCACAGUCGGUCACUCCUGCCCGUGUCCACAGUAGUGACCUCCCGGGGACCCCCUUGCCACCCCACACCACCGCUCACCACGUGGCCAAACAGGCUGAAUUCCUAGAAGACAGGAAUUUAUGGUGUGAGAGCUCCAGUCCCCGCAGACCCACUGCCAAGGUCAACAGCACGAGGCGGGCAUCCCUGCCAAGUGGGGAGUGGAGUCGCGGCUUUAGGAGUCGGUUGCACAGAAAACCAAAGGACAUGCAUUAAAAAAGAAAAAAAAAAAAAGAAAUCCCUUCUCUCCCUCGAGUUCCCAAACUGGGGCUCACACAAGGUCUGCCAGCAUGACCCGGGGAAGGCCUCUGGUCUGGGAACCCAAGCUCAGCAGCUCAGCCUCAGGGGGUGUGGGCAGGAUCUCCGUGGUGGCCCUACGUCUCUGGCCAACCAAGGGGAGUUGACAUGAACAUGGCACACUUGCCAUCUUCCUGGGCCCUGUCACCAAGCCCCCUGAGGUGGGAGCCUGCUUCAUUUCACCUCCCCUCUGCCAUCUUGGUUCUGGGGGUCUUGACUGUCCAGACAACAAGCCUCUCACAGACCCGGGGUCCUAGAUCUCCGGCAGCAGAGAGACUGGGGGUGCUGCCUGUGGUCCCGGGUGGGGGGAGGAGCCUAGAGACCACCCAGACUCAGACCCGAUGACCCAAUGCUGAGAAGGUGACCUUGGCCCCAGCCCCGAGCCCCGCAGGUAUAACUGACCAUCCAUGUGUCACCCAUCUGCCUGACAUCUGCUGAGUUCCCCUGUGUGCCGGGCGCCCGGGAAAAGGGGAAACCAAGGCAGAGGAGGCUUCAGUGCCAAGUGGGGCAUGGAGGAAAGACGGAUAGAAAAAUGGAGGUGACCUUCACGUGACGCCAGGGGGCUGGAGGGGCUGUGGGUCCCCUCCCCGCCCAGGAGAGAGAGGCUGCCCUGGGGCUGCCUGCCGGGGAGGACGAGGGUUGGAGACCGCUUUCUGAAGGGGGCAGAGUUCACCAGGCGGACACGCAGUGGGAGAGGGGACUUGCUUGGAAGGAACAUUCCAGCUGAGGCCAAAGCAUGUGCAAAGGCCCAGAAUGUUUAUACCUUGGUAAGACUUUUCAUAUAAAUAAAUUCUCAAAUCCAGAAAACA
rnacentral:lncRNA from 13 species